GUGAAACUUAUUUAUACUCACAAGAGAUGUUUUUAAAUCCUUCAAAAUAUGUAAGACAAGCAUUACAUACAUGUAAAAAAAAAAACAUAAAAUAAAUACAAAGAAUAAGCCAGGUUCAUAUCAAAUCAAACCCAAGACAAAGAAGAUCAAAUGAAAAAAAAAAUACAUGAAACUCAAAAAAGUUUCUCAUCAAAGAAGAACUCCCAUGCAAAUCAAACCAAGCCCAGCAACAAAUCCAAAACCGACAUUCCUUCCAGCUGCACUAUCAUCCUUCUUACUAGACGCAGGAGAUGGAGCAUCACCUUCAACGUCGCUGCUGCUCGGAGUUUUGGAAGGAGUUUUCGACGACUUAGGAGCUGGAGAUGAAGAUGGAGACUUAGCACCAAAAAGUUCAGAAGGUAACAAAACCUUGUCCAAUUGAUAAACAGCCAAAGGAAAUUGUUGUCUCAAUGCAUUGUUGAUAGGUACAGUAACAACUCCAGUUGAAACAUUGACUUGGUUACCUUGUGAAGUGAAGUGAAGACCCCAGUUACCUUCUUUACCAGAAGCUUGUGUUCUAACUGGGUUAGAAACUGUUAAGAAAUCGGAAAGAGAGUAGUAUUUUGGUGUAACAUGGUAGAGAAUGAGUUGAACUUUCUGUUGGUCGGAGAGGUCGUUGAUUGCUCCUGAUAUUAGACAUAAAUGUUAGUUAUACUAAUUAGUUACAUUCAAGUUAUAAUUAUAGGAGUAAAAACAUCUUAUGAACAUGUCAUACAUUAUGACAAAAGAUAAAUUUGUUUCAUAUAUAAUACUGACGCACAUACACACAUAUACCCAUCGGACAUGACACGAACACACCGAUACAGAUAAUAAUUUGAGAAAAUGUUAUAGUUUAGUGUAAUCAUAGGUGUCGUGUUAGUGUCGGUGUCGGAUACUGAUGCGUGUCCGACACAGGACACGUCUAAUCUGAAGAGUGUUUGUGCUUCAUAGUUACCUGAUGGAAGAUUUUGGAAGGCAUUGUCUGUUGGGGCAAAGAUUGUGAAACCUUCUGAAGUUGAGUUGAGUUGGGUUUGGAUUUGAGUGAGUUGUUGAGUUUCAUUGAGGAGACGAAUGAGGAAGUUGUAUUGACCAGCUUUUUCAAAGAUUGUUGUGAUGUUGAUUGGGCCUGAGGGUGCUGGUGCUGGGGCUUGGGCUUGGAUUUGUGGAGUUAAGAAGGGAAUGAGAGUGAGAAGAAUGAGUGCAAGAGGUGUUGUAGUGGUGAGUGCCAUGUUGGUAAGUUAGUGAAGGAGAAUUAAGA
rnacentral:lncRNA from 1 species